CCAGACUCCUACGGGAGGCAGCAGUGGGGGAUAUUGCACAAUGGGCGCAAGCCUGAUGCAGCGACGCCGCGUGAGCGAAGAAGUAUUUCGGUAUGUAAAGCUCUAUCAGCAGGGAAGAAAAUGACGGUACCUGACUAAGAAGCUCCGGCUAAAUACGUGCCAGCAGCCGCGGUAAUACGUAGGGGGCAAGCGUUAUCCGGAUUUACUGGGUGUAAAGGGAGCGUAGACGGCCAGACAAGUCUGAAGUGAAAAUCCAGCGCGUAACGUUGGAAGUGCUUUGGAAACUGCCGGGCUAGAGUGCAGGAGGGGCAGGCGGAAUUCCUAGUGUAGCGGUGAAAUGCGUAGAUAUUAGGAGGAACACCAGUGGCGAAGGCGGCCUGCUGGACUGCAACUGACGUUGAGGCUCGAAGGCGUGGGGAGCAAACAGGAUUAGAUACCCGUGUAUGU
rnacentral:rRNA from 1 species